GAGCGCACCCGACAUAGCAAGGUCUGGCGACACAACGUAUAAAUCCUACCUCAUCAACAGAUCAAACAUCAACCUCAUCACGUCUUCUUCCAUCAAUCAUCGUAGAUGAAGAAGCGCCACGGAACUCAUCUGAUCAGAGAUACAUGAAGGCCGAUCUUCGAUUCUCUACGGAUUAGCACAAAUGAUCAGAAAAGCUCAGAGAGAUGAAGGCCGAUCUUCAAUUUCCCACAGAUCCGCGGAAAUGAUCAAGAAAGUUCACAUCGACGACUGAGAAUCUCUACAGUACCACCGGAUUCAUUGAUUCAACUGAAAGCCUCACUCAAUUGAACCACUGCAGAUCUAAAAUCAGAGCAGCACAAAAAGUAAAAGGAAAUAACAAAUCUUAAAGUCAGUUAGGAAAUUGCAAAUCUCAACGACAACGAGGAUGAGCGGCCAGGUCCGGC
rnacentral:misc_RNA from 1 species